UCAAAUAAUAUAAAAAAUAAUAUAUAUAUUGACAUGGAUUAAACAAAGAUAUAUAUUAUUUUAUGUUGUAUAAACAAAUUGGCAAAAUAGAGAUGGAAGAUAAAAAUAUGGUCAAAGUAAUAAGAGUCUAUGGUGGAUGCCUAGGAGCUUUAAGGCGAAGAAGGUCGUGAUAAGCUGCGAAAAGCUUGGGGGGAGAAGCAAACAUUUAUUGAUCCCAAGAUUACCGAAUGGAGUAAUCCAGCUAGCAAGAUGCUAGCUAUCUAUUAUCUAAAUAAUAGAGGCGAUACC
rnacentral:misc_RNA from 1 species